rnacentral:rRNA from 1 species
AUGGAUGGCAACGUCGUAAGGUUGAUUAGCGACAUGCGUGGGUGUUGGAGUCCGGUGUCCACGAGCCCCGAUGGUAUUCUAUGUGUCACUGGCUAUCUGGAUAGCUACCCGGGUACCGCUGUUUUUGCCGGGUUGAUCGACCUUGGCACCAUGGAGGCGGUUGUCACCCGCUUAGAACACAAUAAAGCUUGGGGCUUCGGUCGUGCUGUCCCGUCAGAUGCGCAUAAGAUUGUGCGCUUUCAAGACCACACCACGGGAUGUUAUUGUGAGGUUUACACGAUAGGGGGUGGUGCCGGGUGGAGACGGAGGAAAUCACACCCAUUGCGCAUUACAAAUACGAUACCUUUGAAAACUAUGCUGCAACGGUCAAUGGUGUGUUGUAUUUGUUGGCAAAUACGAAGCGACAGGGCAUGGACUAUGUACUCUGCUUUGACCUCGAGAGCGAGGAGUGGAAGAAUAACAUCAAAGGCCCACCAAAUAUGGACGUCCGGUUGCAUGAUAUCAGCUUAG